rnacentral:rRNA from 1 species
UGAUCAUGGCUCAGGACGAACGCUGGCGGCGUGCUUCAUACAUGCAAGUCGAACGAGGUCCAUCGAGUGGCAACACUCGUGAAGACCUAGUGGCGAACGGGUGAGUAACACGUGGGUAACCUGCCCUUGACUCUGGGAUAAGCGCUGGAAACGGCGUCUAAUACCGGAUACGACCUGCCCCGGCAUCGGGUGCGGGUGGAAAGUUUUUCGGUCAAGGAUGGACUCGCGGCCUAUCAGGUAGUUGGUGAGGUAAUGGCUCACCAAGCCGACGACGGGUAGCCGGCCUGAGAGGGUGACCGGCCACACUGGGACUGAGACACGGCCCAGACUCCUACGGGAGGCAGCAGUGGGGAAUAUUGCGCAAUGGGCGAAAGCCUGACGCAGCGACGCCGCGUGAGGGAUGACGGCCUUCGGGUUGUAAACCUCUUUCAGCAGGGAAGGAGCGAAAGUGACGGUACCUGCAGAAGAAGCACCGGCUAACUACGUGCCAGCAGCCGCGGUAAUACGUAGGGUGCAAGCGUUGUCCGGAAUUAUUGGGCGUAAAGAGCUCGUAGGCGGUCUGUCGCGUCGGAUGUGAAAAUCCAGGGCUCAACCCUGGACCUGCAUUCGAUACGGGCAGACUAGAGUUCGGUAGGGGAGACUGGAAUUCCUGGUGUAGCGGUGAAAUGCGCAGAUAUCAGGAGGAACACCGGUGGCGAAGGCGGGUCUCUGGGCCGAAACUGACGCUGAGGAGCGAAAGCGUGGGGAGCAAACAGGAUAUACCCUGGUAGUCCACGCCGUAAACGUUGGGCGCUAGGUGUGGGGAACCUUCCACGUUCUCCGUGCCGCAGCUAACGCAUUAAGCGCCCCGCCUGGGGAGUACGGCCGCAAGGCUAAAACUCAAAGGAAUUGACGG